rnacentral:lncRNA from 1 species
UAUAAAAUUCAAAGUAUGGGGUGGUAAUGGAGUGGGAAAAGGAAAAUUGGGAAAAUACUUGAAUGGUGCAAUGGUUCUUAAUAAAAUUGAUAAUAGAAGAAGGACCUUGUAAAUAGGUGGUCCUAAAAUAUUGAAUGGCAACAAAAGGUCAGUUGCACCUAGGAAAAGUGGGGGGUAGCUUAUGAAACAGGUGUGGAAGAAUGACUGAGCUGAACAUGAAUAUUAAAAUAAGGGGAACUAUUGUAUUAAAAGUGCUUAAGGAGGUUAGUCACUAUACCAACCAAAUGAAGCCCUAUUGAUCUUAGACUGAACAACUCGAUUAGUAGAGUAUUACACCAAGGCCAAGCUUAUGGUGUGUUUGUGUGGCAUGUGAAUAUUCUUUGCUAAGAGUGAGUGAAUUCGUUCUAUCUAUAGUUCUUUGUUGUUUGAUUUCAUGUGUGUGGAACUUCUCUAAAAAAUGUGAUGUGAGGGCAUUCAACUCAAGAAGAAAAAUCAAGUCUUCACCUCUGUUUAGAGUACAUAGAGUAAGCACAAGUGUGGCAUGCAUUAGAGUCUUCACCUGAGGUGUGAUUGUUGCACUUCUUAGGUUGUUCUUUUAUAAUGGCAGGGGUGACAUAAAUAGGGUAAUGCAUCAAAACGAUUAGGCCUAGAAGUGUGGUUCAACUUGCUCGAGGACGAGCAAAGAUUAAGUGUGGGGUGUUGAUAAUAGAAAAAUUAACUAUAAUUAGGCCCUAAAGAACCACAUUUUUGUAUAGCUUUUACGGUAAAAAGUGAUAACAAAAUGCUCUCAUUAGUGUUUUUCAUGCUUUGCAGGUUAUAUCCAAUAAAAGAAGUCUGUGGAGUACUUUUGGGAUAAAUUACGGGGAAAAGGAGGCCAAUCAUACAAUAUCCACAAAGUGCACUAAGCGAAGGGACAAAACUAGAACUGAAGAUGGUAUGCCCUGUCCGGGCAUAACUGCGGUAGGACCGCAGCAGAACACUGCUACAGAUUCUGAAGGCCACUCUGGCCGCGGUCUUGGCGUAACCGCGGUAGGACCAUGACAGGAUGCGUAAACUUCAGGGACCAAGUGCAAAAACACGGGAUUUUAAGCGCUAAACCAUAUAUUAAACGAAUGAACCGGCCAAGAAAAGGGGUGAAUGAUUUUUGAAAGUGAAAAACAUCAUAAGGAAGGGCAAGAGGCAAGGAGGAUCAUUAGAAAUCAAUCUUUAAUCUUCUUCUUUGUUCUUUUACCUAUGAAUAUGAAUUUUUUUUGUGCUUUUUGUUAUUUUCAAGAGUAGCUAACUUUUCUAAUCUAAGGCUUUGGUGGAACCUGUUGGGG